rnacentral:rRNA from 1 species
GACGGAGGAUGCAAGUGUUAUCCGGAAUCACUGGGCGUAAAGAGCUCGUAGGCGGUUUGUCGCGUCGGCCGUGAAAUCUCCACGCUUAACGUGGAGCGUGCGGUCGAUACGGGCAGACUUGAGUUCGGUAGGGGAGACUGGAAUUCCUGGUGUAGCGGUGGAAUGCGCAGAUAUCAGGAGGAACACCAAUAGCGAAGGCAGCUCGCUGGGACGGUACUGACGCUAAGGCGCGAAAGCGUGGGGAGCGAACAGG